rnacentral:rRNA from 1 species
UACGUAGGGUCCGAGCGUUGUCCGGAGUUACUGGGCGUAAAGCGCGUGUAGGCGGCUGGGUAGGUCCGCUGUGAAAACUCGAGGCUCAACCUCGAGACGUCGGCGGAAACCAUCCAGCUAGAGUCCGGAAGAGGAGAGUGGAAUUCCUGGUGUAGCGGUGAAAUGCGCAGAUAUCAGGAAGAACACCCGUGGCGAAAGCGGCUCUCUGGGACGGUACUGACGCUGAGACGCGAAAGCGUGGGGAGCGAACAGG